rnacentral:rRNA from 1 species
UACGGGGGGGGUAAGCGUUGUUCGGAAUUAUUGGGCGUAAAGAGCUUGUAGGCGGUUUGUCGCGUCUGCUGUGAAAUUUCGGGGCUCAACCCCGAACUUGCAGUGGGUACGGGCAGACUAGAGUGUGGUAGGGGAGACUGGAAUUCCUGGUGUAGCGGUGAAAUGCGCAGAUAUCAGGAGGAACACCGGUGGCGAAGGCGGGUCUCUGGGCCGAUAUUGACGCUGAGGAGCGAAAGCGUGGGGAGCGAACAGG